rnacentral:rRNA from 1 species
GACAGAGGGUGCAAACGUGUUCGGAAUUACUGGGCGUAAAGCGCGUGUAGGCGGCUAAGUAAGUCGGGCCGUGAAAUCCCACGGCUCAACCGUGGAAGUGCACUCGAAACUGCAUAGCUAGAGUCCUGGAGAGGAAGGUGGAAUGCUUGGUGUAGAGGUGAAAUUCGUAGAUAUCAAGCGGAACACCGGUGGCGAAGGCGGCCUUCUGGACAGUGACUGACGCUGAGA